ACAAGGUCAAAGUCAAAGUCUUUGGUAGUGGGGGGGGCACAGAGCAAGGGGUGGGGCUGGGCACUGUGCUGCUCCCAGGACCGGACUCAGUCUGGCCAAGGGACCUCAUGUCUCCUCCCUCUGGUGAGCUGCCUGGUUCUCUGGCUGAUUCCAAGCCCCGGUGGACAGUCCUGGUGGGGGAGGGGUUCAUAGGCACAAGGAGACCUAUCUCCCUGGCCAGCUGGAGAUGAGCCUCUUUCCUCCCUCUCGCUGCCACCCAGCAGAGGGGAGGAUCCUUCGUUCCCUGGGCCACUGUGGGCCAAAGGCACAGGACAGGGCCUUCCUGGACACCAGCUAGCUCACUGCUGUUCUGGGACACCAGACAGAUGAGGCCAAGAAGGGACGCCUGUCUGGGCUGUGAGGAUGUGUGGCUCCCUGCUUCAGUAUCCCAGAGACGAAAGCGGCAGGACUCAGGGUCCUUCUCCUGCCAAGGCUAGACCUCCAGCCUGGAUACGGGAAUGCCGAGUGAGGUGUCAGCAACUCCUCGAAAGAUCCUGACCCACUGCACAGAGCGCUGAUCCACUGGGGACUCCUAGCACACCAGUGAAGUCUCAAAAUGGAUCCGAGGCUCGGUCAGUGACUGCUUCCCCUUCUUUACAGAACCUUGACCCCCAACCCCACAUCUCCCACGUUUCCUUAUAGUUGUACCAACCUGAUUGAUCAUUACUGGUGCAUGGGAUGGUCUGAUUGGCCUUUCAAUCGUUUAAAGGCCUUUAUACUGGAUAAUAAAGUUGUCUGAUUGGCCUUUCAAUCGUUUAAAGGCCUUUAUACUGGAUAAUAAAGUUGGAUCUGCA